GAUGAACGCUGGCGGCGUGCCUAAUACAUGCAAGUCGAGCGAACGGACGAGAAGCUUGCUUCUCUGAUGUUAGCGGCGGACGGGUGAGUAACACGUGGAUAACCUACCUAUAAGACUGGGAUAACUUCGGGAAACCGGAGCUAAUACCGGAUAAUAUUUUGAACCGCAUGGUUCAAAAGUGAAAGACGGUCUUGCUGUCACUUAUAGAUGGAUCCGCGCUGCAUUAGCUAGUUGGUAAGGUAACGGCUUACCAAGGCAACGAUGCAUAGCCGACCUGAGAGGGUGAUCGGCCACACUGGAACUGAGACACGGUCCAGACUCCUACGGGAGGCAGCAGUAGGGAAUCUUCCGCAAUGGGCGAAAGCCUGACGGAGCAACGCCGCGUGAGUGAUGAAGGUCUUCGGAUCGUAAAACUCUGUUAUUAGGGAAGAACAUAUAUGUAAGUAACUGUGCACAUCUUGACGGUACCUAAGCAGAAAGCCACGGCUAACUACGU
rnacentral:rRNA from 1 species